rnacentral:rRNA from 1 species
UACGUAGGGUGCAGGCGUUAAUCGGAAUUACUGGGCGUAAAGCGUGCGCAGGCGAUUUGCUAAGACAGGUGUGAAAUCCCCGGGCUUAACCUGGGAACUGCGCUUGUAACUGGCAAGCUUGAGUGUGGCAGAGGGGGGUGGAAUUCCACGUGUAGCAGUGAAAUGCGUAGAGAUGUGGAGGAACACCGAUGGCGAAGGCAGCCCCCUGGGCUAACACUGACGCUCAUGCACGAAAGCGUGGGGAGCAAGCAGG